rnacentral:rRNA from 1 species
GACGAACGCUGGCGGCGUGCUUAACACAUGCAAGUCGAACGAAGUGGCGAACGGGUGAGUAACGCGUAAUCCACCUGCCCUUAAGGGGGGGACAACAGUUGGAAACGACUGCUAAUACCGCAUACUUCAGGAUGGGAUUUCGUCGGAUUAGCUAGUUGGAGGGGUAACGGCCCACCAAGGCGAUGAUCAGUCGCCGGUCUGAGAGGAUGAACGGCCACAUUGGGACUGAGACACGGCCCAGACUCCUACGGGAGGCAGCAGUGGGGAAUCUUCCGCAAUGGACGAAAGUCUGACGGAGCAACGCCGCGUGAGUGAUGACGGCCUUCGGGUUGUAAAGCUCUGUUAAUCGGGACGCGGUACCGGAAUAGAAAGCCACGGCUAACUACGUGCCAGCAGCCGCGGUAAUUC